UACGGAGGAUGCGAGCGUUAUCCGGAUUUAUUGGGUUUAAAGGGUGCGUAGGCGGGCAUUUAAGCCGGCGGUCAAAUGUCGGGGCUCAACCCCGGCCUGCCGUCGGAACUGGGUGCCUUGAGUGGGCGAGAAGUAUGCGGAAUGCGUGGUGUAGCGGUGAAAUGCAUAGAUAUCACGCAGAACCCCGAUUGCGAAGGCAGCAUACCGGCGCCCUACUGACGCUGAGGCACGAAAGUGCGGGUAUC
rnacentral:rRNA from 1 species